GGGGGUACCUAAUGAAUUUAAAGCUAGAGAUGAAGUAGCUGUAGGUUUUGAAUCACUUUUUACCAUAGUCACUGCCAACAAAAACCUUAAUUGGAUUAAUUAUAUCUAUUACAACCAACAGCGCUUCGUGAACUACACCAGGGAUGCCCUCCAGGGCUUGGCCGAGCAAUUACAGGCCACAUCCCAAAUGACCUUCGAGAACAGACUGGCCUUAGACAUGAUCUUAGCCGAAAAAGGGGGGUCUGUAAAAUACUUCCCGACACUAUGACUUGUUGCACUUACAUUCCAGAAAACACAGGUCCUAAUGGUAAAGUCACUCUGGCCAUAGCUAAAUUAAAUAGACUCUCAGAAGAGUUAAAGAGAAACUCUGGAGGUACUGAUCCCUGGGAAAAAUGGUUUGGUUGGAUGACUGGUUGGCAGAGAGCUUUAGUCCAGAUUGGUAUUGCCUUACUAAUUUUUCUUUUUAUUCUCGCUCUUCUCAUUUGUUGUGUCCUCCCAUGCCUAAGGAAAUUCCUGCAGAAAACUGUAGACCAAGCAACACCAACCUUCACUCAUCUGACAAUCGAUGAUCAAGAUCUCAUCUCACCCUGUAUUCCGCUACAAACUCUCCCGUAUACUGAUGAAGUGCAGAAAGUCUAGGAAGGGACAGUACAGGGACAGCGUCCGUCUUUAUGGGUAGACUGCCGUACGGAGAAGUAGUGGAUAAGCCACUAUGGGUUACCAGCGGAGUGAAGAGUGUUCCUGAACCGUACUGACGGAUGUGCUGCAGCCUGUUAGGGUUAAGAGAGGGAU